UAGGGAAUAUUAGAAAUGGACGAAAGUCUGAUCUAGCAACACCGCGUGUGCGAAGAAGGCCUUCGGGUCGUAAAGCACUUUUUGGAAGGAAUAGGAAGGAAUGUACUUCCAGAAUAAGUCUCGGCUAACUACGUGCCAGCAGCCGCGGUAACACGUAGGAGGCAAACGUUAUCCGGAUUUACUGGGCGUAAAGCGCGUGUAGGUGGUUCUGUAAGUAGGGCGUGAAAGCUCCUGGCUCAACUGAGAGAGGCCGUUCUAAACUGCAGAGCUAGAGGAUGGUAGAGGGAGGUGCAAUUACGGGUGUAGCGGUGGAAUGCGCAGAUAUCCGGAGGAACACCAGUGGCGAAAGCGGCCUCCUGGACCAUUCCUGACACUCAGACGCGAAAGCUAGGGUAGCAAACG
rnacentral:rRNA from 1 species